rnacentral:rRNA from 1 species
UACAGAGGGUGCGAGCGUUGUUCGGAAUUACUGGGCGUAAAGCGCGCGCAGGCGGCCCUUUAAGUCCAUCGGUCAAAUGCCGGAGCUCAACUCCGUGCGUGCCGAGGAUACUGGAGGGCUGGAGACACGUAGAGGCAAGCGGAAUUCCGGGUGUAGCGGUGGAAUGCGUAGAGAUCCGGAAGAACACCGGAGGCGAAGGCGGCUUGCUGGGCGUGAUCGUGACGCUGAGGCGCGAAAGCGUGGGGAGCGAACAGG